rnacentral:lncRNA from 1 species
AUAAAUGAUAAAAUAAAGCAAACUAAAUAUUAUUCCCUGGCGCCACAAAGCUGACUGGGAGACGCCACCUAGAUCAAAUCGAAAGCCUCAGUGUUAGGCGGCUCCUCUUUGACCACAUGUUCUUCUCCUGUGGGGGUGUGAGACAGCAAGGGUGAGCUCACACAUGUUCAUCGCUCAACAAGUUGUGGGGAAUAAUGUGCAUGAACUCACCAAAGGCGGGACUUCAUGUGAUGUGUAAGGCAGAUCAAUGUAAUAAAGGCUAAAGCUGAGCAUUGCUUUUAUAAGUUGGUCAAAGUUUUAUUAGCAGUUACUAAGUGUAAGUAAAUACCAAACCAUAGUAAUAAUAAGUAAAAGUAAUAAUAAAAUAAUUCCCAGUGCAAUGAAAUGACAAAUUGAGUUUAAUUCCAUAAAUUAAUCAUGUGAGUGUCCGAGCCCCUCAUGACUGUGAGCAUGGCUAGUAUACCAGUUUUACACUCUGUAGAGGUUGUGCAUCUUUACCCACAAGUCGUGUUACCCAUUUGCCACGGAGUUGAUCAGACCCCAUACACCUCUACCAAGGAAGCGAGGCAGGGUACCACUACGAGGCCUUUACAAAGUUCCACUAGCUUCAGAAAACAUGCUACAGUUUCUAGGAAGCUCCAGUGCAGAAAUCCCUCGCCUGACCGCCAUCGCAGCAAAAUCAAUCCAAGGACCCCCCUAUACUGACCACUCCCCUACUGUCCUUGCCCCUUUUGGGUAAGGUAGUCAUCCACUAGCUUUCCUAGUUAAUCAGCCAAGGGCGUCCCAUACCACCCUUGUGGUAGCAGUGUUUUCCCGGGUGGUUCUCCAUGUUCUCAUUAACAUAAUAAUCUUAUCAUGAACAGUAAAUAAUAAUUGAUAACAAAAGUGUAACAAUGAGUGAUGUAUAUCUCCAUACCCAAAACCACAUAAAGCAAUAGCAUAUACUACCCAAAAAUAUUCAGUGGUAAAACAAGGUAUAAAGAUAGCCAAAACUGGGGUAACCUAUUGGAUCCCAUGAAAAUUAUCCUAGGCAGAUCAUUAUGAUUAAUAAGAACAUGACUGGGUAAAAAGGAAGUGAUCAAGGGCACAACUUGCCUUCAAUGAGCUCCUCUUCAGUAACUUCUAUCUGCUGAACCUCAGGAUCCACAGUAGCUUGCUCAUCUACUCGCAUCAACACAAUACAUACAUAGUAUAGCAAAAAUUAACAUCACACCAAACAUGUAAAUAAAAUACACAAUAAUAAUCUACACAUUAAAAUAAGAUCCUAGGAACAGGAAUUAUUAUUAAUUUUGGAGUUAUAGAUCUUAAGUUAUGAAUUUCUAAAGGUAUUAUGUAUUUGAUUCAAGAUUAACUAAUCAAUAAAUUUUAUUACUGUUUUCAUGCCAAAACAGAGACACUAGAUGAUAAACAAUAACAUUAUAAAAUUUUAGAAACUGAAAUGAAUCAAUUUGGAGUUCAUAUGAAUUUUCUACAAAUUAAAUAAGUUCUAACAUUUAUUUAUGCAUUAAAAAUCAAUUUCUGUGAUUAUUUCCUAUUUUCCUUAGUCUCUGGAUCGGGCAUCAAAUACUGAGAAGUGCAGGGGCUACGGUGCAAAUAUUUCUAAGACUCAGAGAGUCCCUGGCGUGGAUGGCGGGUUAAUUCCGUAAAACUAUAGGGGGUUCUUUAGUAAAACGCCCAGCCGAAGGGGUAUGGCUGCAUCAAAUUCGUUGGAUUAGAGCCCGACGGCUUAGAUUUAAUCAGGAGCAUUAAUAAUCACCAAGCGCCCAGGACCAGAGGAUCCACGAUCGACGGCUUGGAUCAACUAGACGUCUGGAUCAUGCGCGAACUCAUCAGAACCGCCCAUUCACAGAUCUACGGUUACCCCUCCUUUCCUCUCGAUCUAACCUUUGGCGUUGGAUGGCCAUCCAACGGUUACUAACAUUCCCCGCUCUCAACUAAUCAUGGCCGACCAACCCGAGAUCGACAGCCAACACAUCUUUGUCUCCAACGGGUCACAUGCCGACGCGCCCUAGGGAGAGAUGCAGUCAGCAACGGCGGCGCCAUGGCCGGAAGAUUUCCCAUGCCCAACACGUGUUCCAUGCUCUAGUCCGAGGAGCCCCACACGAUGCCCUAAGCAAGGGAAAUGCGAUGGACAUAUACGUACCCCACAGUGCGCCGCAGAGAACACCGGACACGAUGAGCGGCGGCCCGCCAACUCCGGUGAAGAAUUCUCGCGGCCUCCUCCAAUCCUUUUACGAUUGUUCUCUUGCCCAGCUUCUACAUGAUCGGCCUAAGCUCCGGGUGACUAGAUUGGGGCCCGAAUCGCGU